rnacentral:rRNA from 1 species
UCCUAGCCUUUUAAUUGGAGGCCUGCAUGAAUGGCUUGACGAGCGCCCUGCUGUCUCUCUUCCCAUGAACUUUUAAAUUAACUUUCGCGUGCAAAGGCGCGAAUGGCUGAGUUAGACGAAAAGACCCUAUGCAUCUUUACUGAGAGAGAAGAAAGUUCUUUAGCUUGGUUUAGCUGGGGCAGCUGAGGAAAAGGCAAAAUUUCCUUAAUAUAAAUCAUACUGGUGGGUUUAGAUCCAGGCUCUUUAGCGGGCUUGACAAGUAGAAAAGUUACGCUAGGGAUAACAGCGUUAUCCUUCUGUGGAGGUCUUAUCUGCAGGAGGGAUUGCGACCUCGAUGUUGAAUUAGGGAUAUACCAGAAAGGCGCAGAAGCUUUUAUUGUGGGUCU